AUGCGCGAAAGCGUGACGAGGUUAAUCCGAGUGGUUCCCGCUGAGGGAAUCUUUUGUCGGCUGUAAAAAGGCCGGUGAAUAAGGGGAGGGCAAGUCUGGUGUCAGCCGCCGCGGUAAUACCAGCUCCUCGAGUGGUCGGGGCGAUUAUUGGGCCUAAAGCAUCCGUAGCCGGUUCUGUAGGUCCUCUGUUAAAUCCAACGGCUUAACCGUUGGCGUGCAGAGGAUACCGCAGGACUAGGAGGCGGGAGAGGCAGACGGUACUCUACGUGUAGGGGUAAAAUCCUUUGAUCCGUAGAAGACCACCAGUGGCGAAGGCGGUCUGCCAGAACGCGCUCGACGGUGAGGGAUGAAAGCUGGGGGAGCGAACCGGAUUAGAUACCCCCGUAGUCC
rnacentral:rRNA from 1 species